AUUGAACGCUGGCGGCAGGCUUAACACAUGCAAGUCGAGCGGAGAUGAGGUGCUUGCACCUUAUCUUAGCGGCGGACGGGUGAGUAAUGCUUAGGAAUCUGCCUAUUAGUGGGGGACAACAUUCCGAAAGGAAUGCUAAUACCGCAUACGUCCUACGGGAGAAAGCAGGGGAUCUUCGGACCUUGCGCUAAUAGAUGAGCCUACGUCGGAUUAGCUAGGUGGUGGGGUAAAGGCCUACCAAGGAGACGAUCUGUAGCGGGGCUGAGAGGAUGAUCCGCCACACUGGGACUGAGACACGGCCCAGACUGCUACGGGAGGCAGCAGUGGGGAAUAUUGGACAAUGGGCGGAAGCCUGAUCCAGCCAUGCCGCGUGUGUGAAGAAGGCCUUAUGGUUGUAAAGCACUUUAAGCGAGGAGGAGGCUACUUUAGUUAAUACCUAGAGAUAGUGGACGUUACUCGUAGAAUAAGCACCGGCUAACUCUGUGCCAGCCGCCGCCGUAA
rnacentral:rRNA from 1 species